rnacentral:rRNA from 1 species
CAGCAGCCGCGGUAAUACCGGCGGCCCGAGUGGCGGUCACUAUUAUUGGGCUUAAAGCGUCCGUAGCCGGGGUGGGAAGUCCUCCGGGAAAUCUGGCCGCUUAACGGUCAGAAUGCCGGAGGAUACUCCCAGCCUAGGGACCGGGAGAGGCCGAGGGGAUUCCCGGAGUAGGGGGGAAAUCCUAUAAUCCCGGGAGGACCACCGGUGGCGAAGGCGCUCGGCUGGAACGCGUCCGACGGUGAGGGACGAAGGCCAGGGGAGCAAACCGGAUUAGAUACCCGGGUAGUCCUGGCUGUAAACGAUGCGGACUUUGUGUCGGACAAGCUAUGAGCUUGUCCGGUGCCGGAGGGAAACCGUUAAGUCCGCCGCCUGGGGAGUACGGCCGCAAGGCUGAAACUUAAAGGAAUUGGAGGG